rnacentral:rRNA from 1 species
GUGGGGAAUUUUGGACAAUGGGCGCAAGCCUGAUCCAGCAAUGCCGCGUGCAGGAAGAAGGCCUUCGGGUUGUAAACUGCUUUUGUACGGAACGAAACGGUCCGGGUUAAUACCCUGGGCUAAUGACGGUACCGUAAGAAUAAGCACCGGCUAACUACGUGCCAGCAGCCGCGGUAAUACGUAGGGUGCAAGCGUUAAUCGGAAUUACUGGGCGUAAAGCGUGCGCAGGCGGUUUUGUAAGACAGGCGUGAAAUCCCCGGGCUCAACCUGGGAAUUGCGCUUGUGACUGCAAGGCUGGAGUGCGGCAGAGGGGAAUGGAAUUCCGCGUGUAGCAGUGAAAUGCGUAGAUAUGCGGAGGAACACCGAUGGCGAAGGCAAUCCCCUGGGCCUGCACUGACGCUCAUGCACGAAAGCGUGGGGAGCAAACAGGAUUAGAUACCCUUGUAGUCC